CUACAGAGGCAAUAAAAAAGAUCCAUGAUUGCCAGAGGCCUAGGUGGGAGGGAAGGACGAGCAGGUGGAGCUCAGAGGAUUUUUCAGGGCAGUGAAACUAUUCUGUAUGAUACUAUCUGUAAGAGUGGAUUCAUGUCAUUGUACAUUUGUCAAACCCCAGAGAAUGCACAAGACAGCAUGAACUCUAAUGUAAACUAUGGACUUUGGGUGAUGAUGUGUCAGCGUUGGUUCAUCAGUUGUAACAAAUGUUACUGAUAUAACAAAUCCCACUGAUGAGGGACGCUGAUGGUUACGGAGCCUGGGUG